rnacentral:rRNA from 1 species
UACGUAGGGUGCAGGCGUUAAUCGGAAUUACUGGGCGUAAAGCGUGCGCAGGCGGUUUCUUAAGUCAGAUGUGAAAGCCCCGGGCUUAACCUGGGAACUGCGUUUGAAACUGGGAGACUUGAGUGUGGCAGAGGGGGGUGGAAUUCCACGUGUAGCAGUGAAAUGCGUAGAGAUGUGGAGGAACACCGAUGGCGAAGGCAGCCUCCUGGGCCAACACUGACGCUCAUGCACGAAAGCGUGGGGAGCAAACAGG